UACGUAGGCAGCGAGCGUUGUUCGGAGUUACUGGGCGUAAAGGGUGUGUAGGCGGUUGUUUAAGUUUGGUGUGAAAUCUCCCGGCUCAACUGGGAGGGUGCGCCGAAUACUGAAUGACUCGAGUGUGGGAGAGGUGAGUGGAAUUCCUGGUGUAGCGGUGAAAUGCGUAGAUAUCUGGAGGAACACCGGUGGCGAAGGCGGCAUCCUGGACCGACACUGACGCUGAGGAGCGAAAGCCAGGGGAGCAAACGGG
rnacentral:rRNA from 1 species